rnacentral:rRNA from 1 species
CAGUAGCCGCGGUAACACGGAGGGGGCUAGCGUUGUUCGGAAUUACUGGGCGUAUAGCGUACGUAGGCGGCUUUGUAAGUUAGAGGUGAAAGCCUGGAGCUCAACUCCAGAAUUGCCUUUAAGACUGCAUCGCUUGAACGUCGGAGAGGUGAGUGGAAUUCCGAGUGUAGAGGUGAAAUUCGUAGAUAUUCGGAAGAACACCAGUGGCGAAGGCGGCUUACUGGCUCAUACUGGACGCUGAGGUGCGAAAGCGUGGGGAGCAAACAGGAUUAGAUACCCCCGUAGUCCCUGUCUCUUAUAU